rnacentral:rRNA from 1 species
GACGAACGCUGGCGGCGUGCUUAACACAUGCAAGUCGAACGGAAAGGCCCCGCCUUUGUGGGGUGCUCGAGUGGCGAACGGGUGAGUAACACGUGAGUAACCUGCCCUUGACUUUGGGAUAACUUCAGGAAACUGGGGCUAAUACCGGAUAGGAGCUCCUGCUGAAUGGUGGGGGUUGGAAAGUUUCGGCGGUUGGGGCUGGACCCGCGGCUUAUCAGCUUGUUGGUGGGGUAGUGGCUUACCAAGGCCUUGACGGGUAGUCGGCCUGAGAGGGUGCCCGGCCACAUGGGGACUGAGGUACGGCCCAGACUCCUACGGGGGGCAGCGGUGGGGAAUAUUACACAGUGGGCGGAAGCCUGAUACAGCAACGCCGCGUGCGGGAUGACGGCCUUCGGGUUAUGAACCGCUUUCGCCUGUGACGAAGCGUGAGUGACGGUAAUGGGUAAAGAAGCACCGGCUAACUACGUG